rnacentral:lncRNA from 1 species
ACCACUGUAUUAUUCUCAAGCAGCUUCAGUUCCAGCUUGGCAGGAUGCCAUGAGAAAGGAAUUUGAGGCUUUGGACACCAACCAAACUUGGGAUGUUGUCCAUCUUCCUCAUGGUAAGAAGCCAAUUGGUUGCAAAUGGGUUUAUAAAAUAAAGUACAGGGCUGAUGGUUCCAUUGAAAGGUAUAAAGCCAGACUUGUUAUUAGGGGGAUACUCAAGUUGAAGGGGUUGAUUUCACAGAAACUUUUUCUCCUGUGGUCAAAAUGUGCACUGUUAAAUGUUUGAUUGCUGUUGCUAUGAAAAAGAAUUGGAAUUUGUUUCAACUUGAUGUUAAUAAUGCUUUCUUGCAUGGGGAUUUGGAUGAGGAGGUGUACAUGAAAUUGCCUCCUGGUUUAACUGUAUCUGCUUCUGUUUCUGAUUCUAUUUCUUCCCCUCCGGUUUGUAAACUCAAAAAAUCUCUUUAUGGGCUGAGACAGGCUUCCAGACAAUGGUAUGCCAAGUUGUUUCAUGCUCUUUCUCUCAGAGGAUAUCAACACUCUUUGAAUGACUAUUCUUUAUUCAUCAAAGGCACAUCUGGGUCUUUAGUAAUUCUGGCAGUGUAUGUGGAUGAUAUUAUUAUAACUGGGGAAGACAAUGAUGAAAUCUCUGCACUGAAACUGUUUCUUGAUGAUCAGUUUAAAAUCAAGGACCUUGGGUCCUUGCAUUAUUUCUUGCGGAUUCAGAUGUCUCAUGUUCCUGGUGGAAUGAUCCUCAAUCAGCAGAAAUAUAUUUCUGACCUGUUGCAUCUGUUUGACUGUUCUAAUGUAUCUUCUGUUGUCUGUCCGGUGGAAUGAUUCUCAAUCAGCAGAAAUAUGUUUCUGACCUGUUGCAUCAGUUUGACUGUUCCAAUGUGUCUUCUGUUGUCUGUCCUUUGGAUACGAAUGUCAAACUUCUUGCUGAUUGUGGUGACCUCUUACCCUCUCCUUAUCAAUUUAGGAGUUUAGUGGGUAAGCUUUUAUUUUUGACACAUACUAGACCUGAUAUCUGUUUUGCUGUACAGCAUCUAAGUCAAUUUCUCAAAUGCCCUAGAGUACCUCAUAUGAAUGCUGCUUUUCAUGUGUUGAGAUAUCUCAAAGGCACUUCCUCUACUCGAGUACCUCAUAUGAAUGCUGCUCUUCAUGUAUUGCGAUAUCUUAAAGGCACUUCCUCUAUGGGCCUCUUCUACUCUGCCAAUGAUGAUUUUUCUUUAAGUGGUUAUUCUGACAGUGACUGGGCUGCUUGCCCUGACACCAGAAGGUCUGUUACUGGGUUUUCUGUUCUUCUGGGUGGUUCUUUGGUCAGCUGGAAAUCUAAGAAACAACCUGUUGUAUCUUUACCAUCUGCUGAGGCAGAGUAUCGGGCUUUAAGCAAACUUGUGGCUGAACUUUCCUUGUUAUCUCGCUUGUUAUCUGAUCUUGGUGUUUCUCUUUCUCUUCCAAUUUCUGUAUACUGUGAUAGUCAAUCUGCCAUACACAUUGCUACUAAUCCUGUUUUCCAUGAACGCACAAAACACAUUGAGGUGGACUGUCAUUUUGUGCGUGAUCANN